rnacentral:lncRNA from 1 species
AGAGCAUGGCUGAGAUUGAUUAUAGCUUGCAGAAGCUGCUCAAGAAGCUGAAGGACUACAAAGGUGAGCUUUGCUAGUGAAAUGGUAAAAGACAACAGUGAUCUUUUUCUUUCUCCAGAUCCUAGCUGGCCUUCUUGCUUCCUUGUUUCUAACCCAAUGGCUUUCUUUCUCCACGCACACUUUCCCUCAGCAUUGGUUGAGAAAUGGUGUUUUAUUAAAUGAAAUGGGAGCUAAUCUCCACGAUCCUGGAAGAUGCAAGUCUAAUAUGAACUAAAAGCUGAUUUCGACUUCUCUUCGACAUGGCAACCAAGAAAGUACUUGAUCUAGUUCAUGUAUUUGGCUGGUUUCCACCAUAAGCUUAGAAGAAGGAAUGUUCGAUUUAAGGUUUCGGUUGUUGUUCAGAGGCAAGGUGCGGAAGGGAAGAUACCAAUGGUUCAGUGCUCAAUGCCUUGUCAAAGAAGGAGCCGAAAUUCCAGUCAAGCUGGUUGAUCCGACACCUAAUGUGAAUUACGGAUGUGUAUACGAUGGUAACUCCAUUCUACCAUAGCACAUCCCGUUUAAUAACAACUUCUGGAAGAUCAGAGCCGGUGUAAUGUAUUAGUUUAGUUGUGAAUUUGUCCUCUUUUCAUACCAUUUUUGUUGUCUUGCAUCAUUAAUAUUCUUGGUUUGAUCUCUGAUGAAUCUUGUGGUCCC